AGAACGAACGCUGGCGGCAUGCCUAAUACAUGCAAGUCGAACGAACACUUCGGUGUUAGUGGCGCACGGGUGCGUAACGCGUGGGAAUCUGCCCUUGGGUUCGGAAUAACAGUUGGAAACGACUGCUAAUACCGGAUGAUGACGAAAGUCCAAAGAUUUAUCGCCCAGGGAUGAGCCCGCGUAGGAUUAGCUAGUUGGUGAGGUAAAGGCUCACCAAGGCGACGAUCCUUAGCUGGUCUGAGAGGAUGAUCAGCCACACUGGGACUGAGACACGGCCCAGACUCCGUACGGGAGGCAGCAGUAGGAAUA
rnacentral:rRNA from 1 species